CAGACUCCUACGGGAGGCAGCAGUGGGGAAUAUUGCACAAUGGGCGCAAGCCUGAUGCAGCCAUGCCGCGUGAAUGAUGAAGGCCUUAGGGUUGUAAAAUUCUUUCGCCAGGGAUGAUAAUGACAGUACCUGGUAAAGAAGCCCCGGCUAACUUCGUGCCAGCAGCCGCGGUAAUACGAAGGGGGCUAGCGUUGUUCGGAAUU
rnacentral:rRNA from 15 species